UACGGGGGGGGCAAGCGUUGUUCGGAAUUACUGGGCGUAAAGCGCGCGCAGGCGGCCUUUUAAGUCUGCUGGUGAAAUGCCGGGGCUCAACCCCGUGCCCGCCACAGAUACUGGGAGGCUGGAGACGAGUAGAGGCAAGCGGAAUUCCGGGUGUAGCGGUGGAAUGCGUAGAGAUCCGGAAGAACACCGGAGGCGAAGGCGGCUUGCUGGGCUCGGUCUGACGCUGAGGCGCGAAAGCGUGGGGAGCGAACAGG
rnacentral:rRNA from 1 species